UACGGGGGGGGUAAGCGUUGUUCGGAAUUACUGGGCGUAAAGGGCUCGUAGGCGGCCAACUAAGUCAUACGUGAAAUCCCUCAGCUUAACUGGGGAACUGCGUGUGAUACUGGAUGGCUUGGAUUUGGGAGAGGGAUGCGGAAUUCCAGGUGUAGCGGUGAAAUGCGUAGAUAUCAGGAAGAACACCAAUGGCGAAAGCAGCUUUCUGGGACGGUACUGACGCUGAGACGCGAAAGCGUGGGGAGCGAACAGG
rnacentral:rRNA from 1 species